rnacentral:rRNA from 1 species
AACGAACGCUGGCGGCAGGCCUAACACAUGCAAGUCGAGCGCCCCAGCGAUGGGGAGCGGCGGACGGGUGAGUAACGCGUGGGAACGUACCCUUUGCUACGGAAUAGCCUCGGGAAACUGGGAGUAAUACCGUAUGUGCCCUUCGGGGAAGAUUUAUCGGCAAAGGAUCGGCCCGCGUUGGAUUAGGUAGUUGGUGGGGUAAUGGCCUACCAAGCCGACGAUCCAUAGCUGGUUUGAGAGGAUGAUCAGCCACACUGGGACUGAGACACGGCCCAGACUCCUACGGGAGGCAGCAGUGGGGAAUCUUAGACAAUGGGCGCAAGCCUGAUCUAGCCAUGCCGCGUGAGCGAUGAAGGCCUUAGGGUUGUAAAGCUCUUUCAGGGGGGAAGAUAAUGACUGUACCCCCACGAAGAAGCCCCGGCUAACUCCGUG